UUCCAGACUCCUACGGGAGGCAGCAGUGGGGAAUAUUGCACAAUGGGGGGAACCCUGAUGCAGCGACGCCGCGUGAGUGAAGAAGUAUUUCGGUAUGUAAAGCUCUAUCAGCAGGGAAGAAAAUGACGGUACCUGACUAAGAAGCCCCGGCUAACUACGUGCCAGCAGCCGCGGUAAUACGUAGGGGGCAAGCGUUAUCCGGAUUUACUGGGUGUAAAGGGAGCGUAGACGGCAGUGCAAGUCUGAAGUGAAAGCCCCGGGCUUAACCCGGGAAUUGCCUUGGAAACUGUACGGCUGGAGUGCUGGAGAGGUAAGCGGAAUUCCUAGUGUAGCGGUGAAAUGCGUAGAUAUUAGGAGGAACACCAGUGGCGAAGGCGGCUUACUGGACAGUAACUGACGUUGAGGCUCGAAAGCGUGGGGAGCAAACAGGAUUAGAUACCCUUGUAC
rnacentral:rRNA from 1 species